rnacentral:rRNA from 1 species
GAUGAACGCUGGCGGCGUGCCUAAUACAUGCAAGUCGAGCGAACGGGCGCGGAGCUUGCUGCUCUGUUGUUAGCGGCGGACGGGAGAGAAACACGUGGAUAACGUACUUAUAAGACUGGGAACACUUGGAGAAACCGGCUCUUACACGGGAUAAUCUUUUGAUCCGCAUGGUGCAAAAGUGAGAGACGGUCUUGCUGUCUCUUAUAGAUGGAUCCGCGCUGCAUUAGCUAGUUGGUAAGGUAACGGCUUACCAAGGCAACGAGGCAUAGCCGACCGGAGAGAGUGAUCGGCCACACGGGAGCGUAGACACGCACCAGACGCCUACGGGAGGCAGCAGUAGGGAAUCUGACGCAACGGGCGAAAGCAUGACGGAGCAACGCCGAGUGAGAUAUGAAGGUGCUCCGAGCGUAAAGCUCGGUUACGAGUGAAGAACAGAUGUGUAAGGAACUGUGCAGAUCGUGACGGUAAUUAAUCAGAAAGCCACGGCUAACUACGUG